GGGGGUGAUAGGCUUCGACAGGGGAGGUUGUGUCCAGACUGCAAGCCGAGGUGCUCUACCCUCGUUAAUCCAGAGCACAACCAAUAAGUGCCAACGAAAGCACUCCUAGCUUCGCUCUCGCCGCAUAAUCCGGCGGGACCGAACAAGGUUACCCGAGGGUAACCCGUCUGCCCCGACCGUCUCCUAUCCGGGCGGCAAGCAGGCGACACAAAGGAUAGGAUGCCCUGCCGCGGUGCCGGGACGCCGCAGCUAAGACCAAUUCCGGCUAGCCACGUGGUCCGCCUUUCGUCAGUUUAUGGCACCCACGACGCGAAACUUAAAAACUGACUAUGCUUGUAGAGGUCUGUCCGCGAAUCUUUUGGACUCGGGUUCGAUUCCCGACACCUCCACUA
rnacentral:tmRNA from 1 species